GAUGAACGCUGGCGGCGUGCCUAAUACAUGCAAGUCGAGCGAACAGACGAGGAGCUUGCUCCUUUGACGUUAGCGGCGGACGUGUGAGUAACACGUGGGUAACCUACCUAUAAGACUGGGCUAACUUCGGGAAACCGGAGCUAAUACCGGAUAAUAUUUCGAACCGCAUGGUUCGAUAGUUAAAGAUGGCUUUGCUAUCACUUAUAGAUGGACCUGCGCCGUAUUAGCUAGUUGGUGAGGUAACGGCUUACCAAGGGAACGAUACGUAGCCGACCUGAGAGGGUGAUCGGCCACACUGGAACUGAGACACGGUCCAGACUCCUACGGGAGGCAGCAGUGGGGAAUCUUCCGCAAUGGGCGAAAGCCUGACGGAGCAAUGCCGCGUGAGUGAUGAAGGUCUUCGGAUCGUAAACCUCUGUUAUUAGGGACGAACAAACGUGUAAGUAACUGUGCACGUAUUGACGGUACCUAAACAGAAAGCAACGGCUAACUACGUG
rnacentral:rRNA from 1 species